GACGAACGCUGGCGGCGUGCUUAACACAUGCAAGUCGAACGGAAAGGCCUGCUUUCCCUUGUGGAUUGCGGGUACUCGAGUGGCGAACGGGUGAGUAACACGUGAGUGAUCUGCCCCCAACUUGGGUAUAAGCCUGGGAAACUGGGUCUAAUUCCCGAUAGGACUGCAGGGUGGUGCCUGUGGUGGAAAACGAUUUUCUAGUGGUUGGGGAUAAGCUCGCGGCCUAUCAGCUUGUUGGUGGGGUAAUGGCCUACCAAGGCGGCGACGGGUAGCCGGCCUGAGAGGGUGGACGGCCACAUUGGGACUGGGAUACGGCCCAGACUCCUACGGGAGGCAGCAGUGGGGAAUAUUGCACAAUGGGCGGAAGCCUGAUGCAGCGACGCCGCGUGGGGGAUGACGGCCUUCGGGUUGUAAACUCCUUUCGACCGCGAGGAAGCCACCUGGUUGGAAGGGUGGUGACGGUAGUGGUAGAAGAAGCACCGGCUAACUACGUG
rnacentral:rRNA from 1 species